AGCGAACGCUGGCGGCAGGCCUAACACAUGCAAGUCGAACGAACCUUCCGGGGUUAUUUGCGGAUGGGGGUGGAACACGUGGGAACGUGCCUUUAUGUACGGAAUACCUCAGUGACACUUGUGCUAAUACCGAAUGUGCCCUUCUGGGGAAAGAUUCAUCGCCGUUAGAGCGGCACGUGUCUGCUUAGCUAGUUGGGUGAGGUAAUGGCGCAUCAAGGCUACGUUCAGUAGAUGGUAUGAGAGGAUGAGCCGCCACAUUGGGAGUGAGACGCAGUCCAAAAUCUUACGGGAGGGGGGAGUGCGGAAUCCUGCGAAACGGGGGAAGUGAUGACGCAGCCAUGCCGGGUAAAUGAUGAAGGUCGUAGGAAUGUAAAAUUCUUUCAACGGGGACGAUAAUGACGGUACCCGGAGAAGAAGCCCCGGCUAACUUCGUG
rnacentral:rRNA from 1 species